rnacentral:rRNA from 1 species
AUGAACGCUGGCGGCGUGCCUAAUACAUGCAAGUCGAGCGAACAGACGAGGAGCUUGCUCCUUCGACGUUAGCGGCGGACGGGUGAGUAACACGUAGGUAACCUACCUAUAAGACUGGGAUAACUUCGGGAAACCGGAGCUAAUACCGGAUAAUAUUUCGAACCGCAUGGCUCGAUAGUGAAAGAUGGCUUUGCUAUCACUUAUAGAUGGACCUGCGCCGUAUUAGCUAGUUGGUAAGGUAACGGCUUACCAAGGCAACGAUACGUAGCCGACCUGAGAGGGUGAUCGGCCACACUGGAACUGAGACACGGUCCAGACUCCUACGGGAGGCAGCAGUAGGGAAUCUUCCGCAAAGGGCGAAAGCCUGACGGAGCAACGCCGCGUGAGUGAUGAAGGUCUUCGGAUCGUAAAACUCUGUUAUUAGGGAAGAACAAACGUGUAAGUAACUGUGCACGUCUUGACGGUACCUAAUCAGAAAGCCACGGCUAACUACGUG